UGUUAGAGGCCAGGCUGAUACACAGUGUUGGAUCUACCAAGGAUAAAGGAUAAAGUUAAUGGUUAAUCUUCCAGGAAAAUUUCCCAGCAUAGUUGCCUAGAAUUAUGGAAGCUGAGAACCAUACUAGGGAAACAUACUUGCAGCCCAAAUUCUUCCUGCUCUACACACUUCUGCCAUUCUACUGAUAAGAUCCUCUGCUUGAAUUCCAUGAAACCGGCAAAUAAAGCUUAAUUACUUCAAGGGAGAAGAAUGGAUCUCAAACAUGUGACCUGAAGGCACCCAGAAGAAGAGCUCUUGCUGACUUGAAAAGGGACAAAAUAUGGUGAGAAGGAGUGAGCAUCAGGACCCCUACUCCAUCCCAGGCUCCAAAGCUUCAGUUUAUUGUCUGGAGAUCCCCUGCAGGCCAGCAUCUGUAUUUUGGCUAUACCGAGCAACCCCCUCCCCGGUGAUAUGGUGAGCAAGAGGUCUUUAUUGAAGACAGUACCUCCCAGAGAGCUUAAAUGAGUGCCGACAGUCCGGGGGUUUCUGAGCAGGGUCGCGGAAUCAGAGACAGCUCCGAGAUUUCAGGCCCUGGACAACAACAGCAGAGAAGCACAAAUGUCCAAACACAGAGCGCAAAGUCCUGUUCACCAACACCGUCACUGGGAACCCUUGCCGCCUUAGAACUCGGCUCAAGAAAUGCCUUUUGAGACAAUUUAUGUCCGAUUGUUGCUCGUCCUAGUAUAUCUUAACAUUCUUAGAACACCAAUAAGGCAAGAUAAAAACAAAAAUAAAAAGCAAAAAAU